UACGAAGGGGGCUAGCGUUGUUCGGAAUUACUGGGCGUAAAGGGCGCGCAGGCGGCUCUUCAAGUCAGAUGUGAAAGCCCCGGGCUCAACCUGGGAACUGCAUUUGAGACUGGAGAGCUUGAGUUCGGGAGAGGAUGGUGGAAUUCCCAGUGUAGAGGUGAAAUGCGUAGAGAUCCGGAGGAACACCAGAGGCGAAGGCGGCACCCUGGCCUAAUACUGACACUGAGACGCGAAAGCAUGGGGAGCGAACGGG
rnacentral:rRNA from 1 species